CUCCGCGGGGGUCUGCCACGCCCGCCUCCUUCACGCGCAGGUGCAUCUACAAGGUAGACUUGGGUGGGCGGAGUCAAGACCGGAAAUGCCCCGGCGCACUGGUCUUCCCCCGAAACCCUCCAGCAGGAACUUCCCUGAGGUCCCGCUUCCAGCCGGAACGCUGGGUUGCUGGGCAACCGGUGCGGGUGGCGCCGGCGGGCUCAGUGCUGCACCGAGUAAGCCGAGUGUAGCUCCCACCUCCUGCCCUGGCAACUUCCCGUCCCGCCCGCUUCCCUUCUUGCCGCCUCUCCUUUCGUCGCGGAAUCCCUGCCCUUGGCACUACGUGCACCUCUCCGGCUCCCACGACACUUUUGUGGCCACCUGCUUCGAACCCAAACUUCACCGAAAGCGAAGCGGUCUGACCCUGGGCGUGGCCUGCACGUUGGCGGACCGCGCCUCUCCAGCCAUGGCCACCUACACCUACACCAGCCGGCCCCGGGCCCUGCCUGGCCGGCGCCGCUGUUACCGGGACGACCAGAUGCAGCAAGCUGAAGAACCUAUGCAUUACGGAAACAUAAUGUAUGACAGAAGGGUGAUCCGAGGCAACACUUAUGCUCUGCAGACAGUACCACUGCCUGAGCAGCCCGAUCCUGCAGAGAUUCAGAGACAGCAGCAGGCUAAGAGGAGGGCUCUUGCCAAAAAACGAGCCCAAGAAGAGCUCAGACCACGAACGCCCGAACCCGUGGAAGGCAGAAAGCAUGUAGAUGUACAGACAGAAUUAUACCUUGAAGAAAUUGCUGACCGCAUAAUAGAAGUUGAUAUGGAAUGCCAAACAGAUGCAUUUUUGGACAAACCACCAACACCGCUCUUUAUUCCUGCCAAAACUGGCAAAGAUGUGGCCACCCAAAUUCUAGAAGGAGAGCUCUUUGACUUUGAUCUUGAAGUUAAACCAAUGUUAGAAGUUUUGGUGGGAAAGACCAUCGAGCAGUCUCUUCUGGAAGUAAUGGAAGAAGAAGAGUUGGCGAACCUGCAGGCCCGUCAGCACGUACAUGAGGAGUUACGCAACGUCGAGCUUGCGGAAGUUCAGCGACUUGAAGAGCGGGAGAGACGACACCGAGAGGAAAAAGAACGUCGUAAGCAGCAGCAGUGGCAGGUGGUUCACAAGCAUAAGGAGACUGCACAGAAAAUCGCCGCCCGAGCGUUUGCACAGCGUUACCUGACCGACCUUCUCCCUUCUGUUUUCAGCAGCCUCAGGGAUGCAGGCUACUUUUAUGAUCCUGUUGAAAGAGAUAUUGAGAUGGGAUUCCUUCCAUGGCUAAUGAAUGAAGUUGACAAAGCCAUGGAGCGCAGCAUGGUUGGAAGAACAGUGGUUGACAUGUUGAUCCGUGAGGUGGUUGGGAAACGACUGAGUCUGUAUGAGCGUAAGGAGGACAGGCACUCGUCUCUGAAACCUGAGGAUGGGCUCAGUGGUCCUGGAGGAAUGAGAGACCCACCGGUGGGCUACGAGUUCCAGGAUCACGGUGCAUCACAGGCACAGAGGCCACUUCCAGACACAGACUCCCUGCAAAGAACACCAUAUGAUGCAAUGUAUAUGGAGAGAGUGUCAUCCCAAGACAGGAAGCUUAUGGAAGAAGAGGAUGAGCAAACAAAUGAGGAAAUCCUUCAGGAGUGAAGAACUGUUGCAAUAGAGGGGAGCUUCGGAGCCGUGGAACCCAGCAGCAGCCAGUCAGCUUUGCGAGCAAUCAGGUUGUGUGGAGUCCAGAGGCAUUAAGAGGGUGUCAGAAAAGCUGCUUCCUGAAGUCUGCAGACUGGCUGUCCGUGCUCUACCAAGGGAAGAAAAAUGGAAGACUUGGAUCUGGUCUACGGUUCUCCUGAGUGGUGGUAUUGCCCAAGCACAUGCCAUGGUAAGGUAUUUUACUAGCUCUGCUUUACCCAGGAUUAGAACUUCAGCUGCACUUGUGGGUUUUUAGGGAAAUUAUCUUGCCAGACAUCAGUCCUUGUUCUCUGACAGUAAACAAAUGGUUCCAGCAGCCUGGGGGAUAAUUGUCACACUUAUUAUUAUUACACAGUAUUAUAAUAUGUUUAGACUUGGACUUUUGUCUAAAAACUGCAAGUUUAAGGCUUUUUACUGACAUUGCUCACUUUACUGUGAAACACACGAUAAGCCUCUUUGCUUUACUUGGGAGUUUAUAGUAAUGGCUCGUUCAAGGUCCUAGCCAGUUUGCAUUACAGAACGCCACAGUCACUAAAGGGACACAUUUGAACACAAGCACAAUCGAUAAGAUGAAGGCUGAGUGUUCCUGCCGAAGGAAUCAGUAGAGCACAAGAAGUGCACACGGUGGCAUGAACACCUGAAGAUCGGUUCAGAGGUACAUCUGAGCUAGGAAAGGUGCUGGAUACUGACUCUGUAAUGGCUGU